rnacentral:rRNA from 1 species
GAACUGCGGGAAGGAUCAUUA